UUAGUCUCGGCCCGUCACUGCCAAUCCAGUGAUCGGGUUUAGCAGCUCGGCAA
rfam:Pseudomonas fuscovaginae strain IRRI 6609 Pf_IRRI_6609_contig_23.23, whole genome shotgun sequence.